CUACGGGACGCUCCAGUGGGGAAUAUUGGACAAUGGGCGCAAGCCUGAUCCAGCAAUACCGCGUGUGUGAAGAAGGCCUGCGGGUUGUAAAGCACUUUCAAUUGUGAAGAAAAGCGAGAGGUUAAUAGCCUUUUGUCUUGACGUUAACUUUAGAAGAAGCACCGGCUAACUCUGUGCCAGCAGCCGCGGUAAUACAGAGGGUGCGAGCGUUAAUCGGAAUUACUGGGCGUAAAGCGUGCGUAGGCGGUUUAGUAAGUCAGAUGUGAAAGCCCUGGGCUCAACCUGGGAACUGCAUUUGAAACUGCUGAACUCGAGUGUGGUAGAGGGAAGUGGAAUUCCGGGUGUAGCGGUGAAAUGCGUAGAUAUCCGGAGGAACACCAGUGGCGAAGGCGACUUCCUGGACCAACACUGACGCUGAGGUACGAAAGCGUGGGUAGCAAACAGGAUUAGAUACCCGUGUAGUC
rnacentral:rRNA from 1 species